CACAAUUGGAUCUGUAAAUAUGGAGAAAACCCAACAUUCCUUGUUUCUGCCAGAAACAGUGUGUCAUACAAAGUAGGUAUAUUCCCUUUUAUUCCGAACACCCAAGUAUAAAUUUCAAUAUUAACAGAUUUUGGGGUUCGUAUUGUGGGUUUGUUCUUUCACGUUCAUUCUCAUUUAUAAUGGAAUUACCUCGUUCCAUUUUGGCCAAUGAUAUUGUCG
rnacentral:lncRNA from 1 species